rnacentral:piRNA from 1 species
UGAAGUGUCAACACAGGCUGAGAGCGGAAC